CCCAUGAAAGGGGGUGGUGCUAUGAUGACGGUAUAUGAAAGGAUAUCUCUCAUGAUUGCGUUCGGAGUGUUAAUUAUAGCGCUGCUGUCAUUUAACCAAAAAAAAUAAUCCACCCUUGAGUUAGCGGCUCAGGUGGAUUACUUUCCCUUGGUGCCAGUCCCCUGAUGGGAACCAGGCUAUUGUAUAGGCUGAAGGUGCUGGUAC
rnacentral:sRNA from 1 species